AAAUGAUGGUUUAACCCCUUCCCUUACUA
rnacentral:tRNA from 1 species